AUGUUGUUAAUCUGGAAAAAAUGGCAAAAUAAAUUACAAAUAAAUAAAAUUGACCCUUUCCCACUAGAAACAUUGGAAAAUAAGGACAAGACAUUCACAAAUCUAAUUAGGGCACUGAAGGAAAAUGGUUUCAAAAGGAUUGGGGACAUCAUGAAUCCCAAAGGAGAAAUACUAAAGUGGGAUAAAAUAAAAGAUAAAUGUGGUCAAGGGAACUGGAUAGCAUGGUUAGGUCUGUCCACUAAAGCCCAGGCCAUGAAAAGAAGAGAAGUAGUUGAAACCCCACUGGAUAGAAUAAUUAAAAGGAAAAUAGAAAUAGAUAAAGGAAUAACUGGGCUAUUGUAUGAUGUACUAAUCACAUUAACUUACAAUACAAAAAUAACCAUUAUAGAUAAUUGGAAACAGGAAAAAAACUUCACUGAGAAAUUAAUUGGGACUUGGAUUGACAAUAUUCAUAAAAUUAAGCAUAUAAGGAUUAAAGAAACACAAAGGAAAAUAAUAUCUAAAUGGUAUAGAACCCCACUCCAAGUAGCAUAUAUAACGGGAAAUACUUCAAAUAAGUGUUGGCAUAACUGUGGGGAAAUAGGUACAUUUUCCCACAUGUGGUGGGACUGUAGAAAAAUUCAGAACUUCUAUAGAAAAAUAAGAAAAAUAAUGGAAGAAAUAAUAGGGAAAGAAUUAAUAUGGGACAAAGCUAGAUACAUGUCUCUCACAGUAAAGGUAAUGGAAGAUAACAAUAAUUGGACAGAGAUUCUAAAAUAUAUGACAGCCGCAAUACAAGCCACGAUAACCCGAGGAUGGAGGGAUGAUACAAAAUGGGAUGUAGAAACCUGGUGGGCUUAUAUAUCAGAAUAUAUAAUUAACGAUUUCAUCAUUCAAAAGAAAAAUAUAUAUACAAAUAGCCUAAAAGAUCAAGACUGGUUAAGGAAAUGGAAUGUUCUAAUCAACAAAAUAGACGGAGACAAAAGAUACCGCACCUUGAACCAGGCGUUCCACACGAUUAAACUGAUGUAUUGA
rnacentral:lncRNA from 1 species